UCCCAGUGAGUGAGCGCCUUGUAUGGCAGCACCCCCACAUUGGGGUGAAUGUGAAUGUGAGGCAUUAUUUGCAGAGCGCUUUGAGCAUCUGAUGCCGAUUGAAAAACGCUAUAUAAAUGCAGUUCUUUUACCACUGACGUAGUGGCUACGUUGAUGCAAGGCCUUCCUUUCUGCUUAUAUCAGUAACGGCAGCGGGUAACGGCAAAUUUCUGCAUGGCUCUUGUGUUCAAUUGGUCUGUGCCGACGAGCAUGAAUUUUCUGAAAAAUUAACUGAAUUAUUAAUUAAAAAGCAGUGGCACUGAAGAGACCUCCCCAAGGCGCACGCCUGGACAAAUGUAUGGGCAUCCUGGGCUGCCAAGACAACAGGAUCUCCCUCUCGGCCACACUGAUGUGACCCAAAGGAGCGUAGAACGAUACAUCUGGCACCAGCUAGGUUGCAGGAGCUGUCGGAAGGGAGUCAGUGGCGACGACCAACCGCCUUAGGUGCUCCACUAUGGAUUUUCUGUCUGGGUUUACUCCUGUAACCUUAUUCUCCUCGCAAAGAUAAUCCAUAAGGCAGUGGAGCUAUUUACCCAUAGCUGGGGCCCUGACAGGUGCGACCACUCUGGGCCGGAGUAGACCUAGGAGCACAGGACCAUGGGAACAUAGCACCCUAGGGACAGACAGUACCAGUCAAAACCUUUGACUAGUACUGUAGGUUAGUUGGAAACAUAAGAGCCUGGGAACAUAGGACCUUCGGUACAUGAGAUUGAUCUCUGUGGUACCAAAAAGCACUGACUGCAACUUUAUAGUUCACAGAACCAGCUCACACAAAGAAAGCCUGGGUAGGUAAAUUUUGCUUUGUAGUAUAACCCUUAAGUGGAAAAAUAAACAUAGACUUGUCCCUCUGACACUCCAACCAUUUCUUUAUUAUCUUAACCAAUGAGUCAUAUCAGUUUUGCCACUGCAUAAAGUUGUUCUGACCUAAUUGAAUAAUAAACGAGUGGGAUUUCCCAUCAAAGAAUUUUAAUGAGUGGUGAAAUUUUUAAACAACCACAAGGAAAUGCCUCAUACUGAGUUCCAUCAUCUUUUGGGGGGGUUAUAUGAACAUAAAUUCCCACCCUAAAGCUGUUGAGCUAAAAUAUUAAAAUCACCUUGUCUGCCAGCACAAAAGGUCUGGGCAUGGCUCCAUCAACUUCAUGGACAUUAACCAUGCACCAACUUUUGUUUCUUGCAGGGGUUAAGGUCAAACCUGACUGGCUGAAUUACAAGAAAAUGGAGCUAUUAACCAUCAUCUCAGUCAAAGGCAUUGGGUCUCUCAUAGCUUGCCAAUAACCUUGAAGCACAAUGAAAUCAUGCCAUCAAGAAGAAAACACUUCAUCCAAGAAUCCUCCAAAGAGGCUGAGUACCAAAGACAUACGGUUUUGACCUUGAGUCACUGGUUCACAUCUGUCUCACAACCAUACAAUAAGGAGUGUCAUUGUGGUAGUUCUUCAUACUGCUGUCGGCGCCACUCUUCAGGAGGAGUCGCACCAUGUCUGUAUGUCCUCGGCCCGAGGCGCUGUGCAGCGCCGUGUUGCCGCUGUAAGACUGGCCGUUCACAUCGCAGCAGCUCUGCAGCGCAAAAACAAGAUACCACUGAUGUUAAUCCUAAAGCAAGCACACGUGCAGGAGCAGUGAAAUGGAACACUAAGCCACAGAAAGACUGGUGAAACAUGGACGUCACGUUGGUCUCCUCCAACUGCUGGCGAAGGUCAAGUUGUUGUUUUCACACUCCAUGUGAUAACUCUGCUACUGCCUUCCAUCGGAGGGAAGUACACAUUGUGAAGGGGACUGGGGAAAGCCAUUUGCAGCCUCAUCUCUGGAAAAGAUGAAACCACAGGAUUGCACCAUGGAUGUUUGGAGGGCCAUGACAGGCGUGGUGCUGAAGGUUCAUCUAUUGCACUGUAGUCUUCAUGUCCAAGCCAGAGGUGGCUCAUGUGGGUGAGCCUUUGAAAUAAACUGUGGCUGUGUCCCAAUUCAGGGACUGCACCCUUCUAAGGCUGUGUCCCAUAAAAAUCUGGCCAUCAGAGACAUAGGAAGCCAAACCUGUUCUGAAAUGAGAUGGUCUAGCACAAGGAGCAUUUGUGAUUACUUCAUUUACUUUUCCCGUCCCUAGUCCCUGUUGCUUAGAAACCUUUAUAUUUGUAUGCGACAAGCUACACUGUAAAAUUCAAUGAGUUAGUUGAACUCAAAUCAUUUGAGGAAACCGAUUGCCUUAAACCAUUUGAGUUUGCCAACUUAAAUAAAAUAAUU